GUGAAUGAAUGGCUGUCAUCCAGAGAGAUAUAAAAUAUCAAGACCUCUGCUCAAAGACCACACUUGGACUGACAAUUUCAUCAUCCAGAAGACUACUGGAAAAAUGUGAAACUAUAAAUUGAGAAGUAAAGCACUCAAAAGAAGAGACAAAAGGAGGGAAGGAAAAGGAGGAGUUGAGGAGGGAAAGAGAGACAAA